rnacentral:rRNA from 1 species
AUUGAACGCUGGCGGCAUGCUUUACACAUGCAAGUCGAACGGUAACAGGCCGCAAGGCGCUGACGAGUGGCGAACGGGUGAGUAAUGCAUCGGAACGUGCCCAGUCGUGGGGGAUAACGCAGCGAAAGCUGCGCUAAUACCGCAUACGAUCUAUGGAUGAAAGCGGGGGACCGUAAGGCCUCGCGCGAUUGGAGCGGCCGAUGUCAGAUUAGGUAGUUGGUGGGGUAAAGGCUCACCAAGCCGACGAUCUGUAGCUGGUCUGAGAGGACGACCAGCCACACUGGGACUGAGACACGGCCCAGACUCCUACGGGAGGCAGCAGUGGGGAAUUUUGGACAAUGGGGGCAACCCUGAUCCAGCAAUGCCGCGUGCAGGAAGAAGGCCUUCGGGUUGUAAACUGCUUUUGUACGGAACGAAACGGCUCUGGUUAAUACCUGGGGCUAAUGACGGUACCGUAAGAAUAAGCACCGGCUAACUACGUGCCAGCCGCCGCCGUAACAC